rnacentral:rRNA from 1 species
UACGUAGGGUGCAAGCGUUAAUCGGAAUUACUGGGCGUAAAGCGUGCGCAGGCGGCUUUGCAAGACAGAUGUGAAAUCCCCGGGCUUAACCUGGGAACUGCAUUUGUGACUGCAUGGCUGGAGUGCGGCAAAGGGGGAUGGAAUUCCGCGUGUAGCAGUGAAAUGCGUAGAUAUGCGGAGGAACACCGAUGGCGAAGGCAAUCCCCUGGGCCUGCACUGACGCUCAUGCACGAAAGCGUGGGGAGCAAACAGG